GGUGUCUCCUCCAACGAUGCAAACCCACCACGGACGACGACUGUCUCGGUCCUCACGGCGUCUCCUCCGACGAGUGUCUCGGUCCUCACUGAGAUCGCUUCCCAAGGUUGAGGCGAUGUGAACAGGUUUACACAUCCAGUUCUUGCAUUAACCAAACACAACUUGAGAUUGUCGUUGAGAGAGAAAGAAGUCAGGAGACAUAAUGCAAGCUGUAUGUGAGAGGACAAGACAAAAAAAGUCAGGAGACAGAGUUUUGUAUGUUUGUAUGCAAGUUGAAGUCACAGAGUUUUGUAUGUUUCUGUCACGAGUUUUGUGCGUUUUGUGUCACGAGUGUAUGGUUAACAAGUGUAUGUGUCACGAGUGUUGGUUGUGUAACUCUUCUCUCUUACUCUAUAUAAAACAUUGCAAUGCAUUUCAUUAUUUUCACUCUACUCUCAUCAUCACAUUCCUUCCGUUCUUAUCAUAAUCACGAACUCUCAUCAUCACAUUUUUUCUGUUCUUAUCAUAAUCACAAAAACGUUACACUCUACUCUCAUCAUCACAUUUCAUUGUUUUUUUUCUCUUGUCUUACAUUGAUCACCAAAAAAAUAAAGUUUUUCCUCAUCCUUCAAGUUAUAAAGUCUUCUCUUCGACCACAAAUUUUUCACGUUCACAAAAAAAAAAGAAAAAAAAAUCUAUGGCUUCUUCUUCACAUAACAUUUCUGAGGGAGUAGAUGAUUUUGAUCAAUAUUUUGAUCAAUAUUGCGAUCAAUAUUUUGAUCAAUAUUUUGAUCAAACGUUCGAGGAUAUGUGCAUAAAUCAUGGUGAUCAAGAAGAUACAAGGAAAAAAAGAAAAAAACGAGUCCACAUCGAAAGAAAUCGUGAAGAAGGCAAUGUGCGUUUAUGGAAUGAUUAUUUCAGUGAAACUCCAACAUAUCCUCAAAAUCUAUUCCGACGACGAUUUAGAAUGAACAAGCCAUUGUUCACGCGUAUUGUUGAUCGACUCUUCAAUGAAGUUGAAUUCUUUCGACAAAAAAAUGAUGCUCUCGGAAGGUCUAGUCUCUCUCCACUUCAAAAGUGUACAGCAGCCAUUCGUGUCUUGGCAUAUGGUACUGCGGCUGAUGCUGUUGACGAAUACCUCCGACUCGGUGAAACUACUACUCGGUCAUGUGUCGAACAUUUUGUGGAAGGAAUAAUUUAUUUAUUCGGCGAUGAGUACCUACGAAAACCAACACCGGCUGAUCUUCAACGUCUACUUCAAGUUGGUGAGUUCCGUGGAUUUCCCGGGAUGGUAGGAAGCAUCGAUUGUAUGCAUUGGGAGUGCAAGAAUUGUCCCACCGCUUGGAAAGGACAAUAUACACGUGGUUCGGGAAAACCCACAAUUGUUUUAGAGGCGACACCGGAAGUUCACAUGUCGAUCUCGAUUAUUCUACAGAUAUGCCUACAAAUAUCGCCAAUAUGUUGGGUGUUCGAACCAGAAUUCGUGAUAGACAAAUGCAUCAACAACUCAAAGCUGAUUUAGUUGAACAUUUAUGGAGUAAAUUUGGACUUGACGACGACAACAACUGAGUUUGGAAUAUGUUUUUCAAAUUAUUCUCGCUUAUUUUUGUAAUCCUGUUUUUUUUUAAUUUUAAAAUGUAUGUUUAAAAUGUU